CUACUCUGGUAUCACUUCAGAUUAAAUAAAUCUUUUGCCUUUUCUAAAGAUUUCCCUGGAGGGGAACAUCCUUGAGUAUUUGCUGCAUUCAGCUGUUUGCAAUAAUUCAGCUUUGUGUUU